rnacentral:rRNA from 1 species
CCUACGGGGUGCAGCAGUCGAGAAUCAUUCACAAUGGGGGAAACCCUGAUGGUGCGACGCCGCGUGGGGGAAUGAAGGUCUUCGGAUUGUAAACCCCUGUCAUGUGGGAGCAAAUUAAAAAGAUAGUACCACAAGAGGAAGAGACGGCUAACUCUGUGCCAGCAGCCGCGGUAAUACAGAGGUCUCAAGCGUUGUUCGGAAUCACUGGGCGUAAAGCGUGCGUAGGCUGUUUCGUAAGUCGUGUGUGAAGGGCGCGGGCUCAACCCGCGGACGGCACAUGAUACUGCGAGACUAGAGUAAGGGAGGGGGAACCGGAAUUCUCGGUGUAGCAGUGAAAUGCGUAGAUAUCGAGAGGAGCACUCGUGGCGAAGGCGGGUUCCUGGACAUUAACUGACGCUGAGGCACGAAGGCCAGGGGAGCGAAAGGGAUUAGAUACCCGAGUAGUC